UACAGAGGGUGCAAGCGUUAAUCGGAAUUACUGGGCGUAAAGCGUGCGUAGUCGGUUAUUUAAGUCGGGUGUGAAAUCCCCGGGCUCAACCUGGGAAUUGCAUUCGAUACUGGAUAGCUAGAGUUCGGCAGAGGGAAGCGGAAUUUCGGGUGUAGCGGUGAAAUGCGUAGAUAUCGGGAGGAACACCUGUGGCGAAAGCGGCUUACUAGACGACAACUGACGCUGAGGCGCGAAAGCUAGGGGAGCAAACAGG
rnacentral:rRNA from 1 species